AUUGAACGCUGGCGGCAGGCCUAACACAUGCAAGUCGAACGAGUGGCGGACGGGUGAGCAAUGUCUGGGAAACUGCCCGAUGGAGGGGGAUAACUACUGGAAACGGUAGCUACUACCGCAUACCAUCGGAUGUGCCCUGAUGGGAUUAGCUAGUAGGUGGGGUAACGGCUCACCUAGGCGACGAUCCCUAGCUGGUCGGAGAGGCUGAACGGCCACACUGGAACUGAGAACCGGUCCAUACUCCUACGGGAGGCAGCAGUGGGGAAUAUUGCACAAUGGGCGCAAGCCUGAUGCAGCCAUGCCGCGUGUAUGAAGAAGGCCUUCGGGUUGUAAAGUACUUUCGGCGGGGAGGCGUUACCCGCAGAAGAAGCACCGGCUAACUCCGUGCCAGCAGCCGCGGUAAUAC
rnacentral:rRNA from 1 species